UCCACGCCCUAAACGAUGAACACUAGUCGUCGGGAUGCUAGUCAUCUCGGUGAUGCACUUAACAGAUUAAGUGUUCCGCCUGGGGAGUACGGUCGCAAGAUUAAAACUCAAAGGAAUAGACGGGGACCCGCACAAGUGGUGGAGCAUGUGGUUUAAUUCGAAAAUACGCGAAGAACCUUACCUAGCCUUGACAUUGAAGAAACACUCUAUCUCUAGUGUGUUUCUUCAAUGUC
rnacentral:rRNA from 1 species